rnacentral:piRNA from 1 species
GCUCAGGGUGGUAGGAGGGGGAAGU